AUUGAACGCUGGCGGCAGGCCUAACACAUGCAAGUCGAACGAGUGGUGGACGGGUGAGUAAUGUCUGGGAAACUGCUUGAUGGAGGGGGAUAACUCCUGGAAACGGUAGUUAUUACCGCAUACCAUCGGAUGUGCCCAGAUGGGAUUAGCUAGUAGGUGGGGGAAAGGCUUACCUAGGCGACGAUCCCUAGCUGGUCUGAGAGGAUGACCAGCCACACUGGAACUGAGACACGGUCCAGACUCCUACGGGAGGCAGCAGUAGGGAAUAUUGCACAAUGGGCGCAAGCCUGAUGCAGCCAUGCCGCGUGUAUGAAGAAGGCCUUCGGGUUGUAAAGUACUUUCAGCGGGGAGGCGUUACCCAAAGAGAAAGCCACGGCUAACUCCGUGCCAGCAGCCGCGGUAAUAC
rnacentral:rRNA from 1 species